rnacentral:rRNA from 1 species
CUGGCUCAGAACGAACGCUGGCGGCGUGCUUAACACAUGCAAGUCGAGUGCGUAGUCCCGUAGCAAUACGGGAUGGGCGCACGGCGCACGGGUGCGUAACACGUGGGCAAUCUGCCCUCCGAUGGGGAAUAACCCCGCGAAAGCGGGGCUAAUUCCGCAUAACAUUCCCUGGACCUCGGUUUGGGGAUUCAAAGCCGUAAGGCGUCGGAGGAGGAGCCCGCGCCCGAUUAGCUAGUUGGUGAGGUAAUGGCUCACCAAGGCAAUGAUCGGUAGCUGGUCUGAGAGGAUGGCCAGCCACACUGGAACUGAGACACGGUCCAGACUCCUACGGGAGGCAGCAGUGGGGAAUCUUGCGCAAUGGGCGAAAGCCUGACGCAGCGAACCGCCGCGUGGGGGAUGAAGCUUCUCGGAGUGUAAACCCCUUUCGACUGGGACGAAUGCCUCGCAAGAGGAGUGACGGUACCAGUAGAAGAAGCCCCGGCUAACUACGUGCCAGCCGCUGC